ACAAUGCGCCCAACCCUGGAUCGAGCUGUGGGGUCCAAUCAGCCUCGGCCAAUCGAUCAACGAGGCGGAAGUGAGGCAGAAGAACUGCCCCAAACUUCCCGAGUUCUGGAUUGGAAGGAGGAGAGAGGAGUGUGCAUUAAAGGCGGGUGAGGGUUCGGCCAACAAAGUGAAGGCGGUGACAUGUGUGUUGCCUUGGUAGCCGGAGAGACCUCAGAGUUCGGGAGUAACUGGCAAUGAGACUACGAGAGAUGAGGAACUGAAGUAAUGUCUGCAAAGGAAACUCGGCUUCAGGAGAAAACAGUCCAUAGUUGACCAACUCCAAGUCAAGAAGACAUGCGUGAAGGGCCUGGGCGGAGGAAGGCUGCUCAAGUCAUGGCAACCAGGAAGCAGAGAGCAAAGGGAGGAACUGGGGAGGGACAUACAGUCUACCAGGUCGUUCCCUUGUGAUUCACCCCUUCCAACCAGGCCCUGCCUUCCACAAGUCCCACCUGGGAACCCAUGAGACUUUGGGGGCCAUCCCAUAUCUAAACCAUAACAAUACCCAAAGGUCACAUUCCUAGGUAUCAGUUUGAAUGUUAUAUAAGACCUGCUAACUAAUGUCCUACCAACUCCAUGUUCAAAAGCUUAAUGUUGUUUUCAUCGUGAUUCUUCCUUUUAUUUUUGCAGCAUUCAUCCUGUUGCUGAAGCUAUAGCCAACAUCUCAGAGAGCAGAUCAGCUGCUCCAAUCCUUUCAAUUUCUUAAUUAAAAGGAAAAUGACUUGC